rnacentral:misc_RNA from 1 species
AACACUGUUAACCUGCGGUACCUGCGGAAGGAUCAUUACCGAGUGAGGGCCCUCCGGGUCCAACCUCCCACCCGUGUUUAACGAACCUUGUUGCUUCGGCGGGCCCGCCUCACGGCCGCCGGGGGGCACCCCGCCCCCGGGCCCGCGCCCGCCGAAGACACCUGUGAACGCUGUCUGAAGUUGCAGUCUGAGACACUAGCUCAAUCAGUUAAAACUUUCAGCAAUGGAUCUCAGAUCGGA